rnacentral:rRNA from 1 species
GGAUGGUAGUGUAUUGGACUACCAUGGCAAUCACGGGUAACGGAGAAUUAGGGUUCGAUUCCGGAGAGGGAGCCUGAGAAACGGCUACCACAUCUACGGAAGGCAGCAGGCGCGUAAAUUACCCAAUCCUGAUUCAGGGAGGUAGUGACAAGAAAUAACAACUCGGGCAUUUUUAAUGCUUCGAAUUUGCAAUGGGAACAAUCUAAAUCACUUAUCGAGGAACAAUUGGAGGGCAAGUCUGGUGCCAGCAGCCGCGGUAAUUCCAGCUCCAAUAGCGUAUAUUAAAGUUGUUGCAGUUAAAAAGCUCGUAGUUGAAUUUCUGAUUAUGAAUGUACUGGGUAACCGGUCCAUUUAUAGUCAUCCACAUGAGAACCUAUCUCGGCCUUCACUGGUCGGUUGGGGGAUCAUGUACUUUACUUUGAAAAAAUCAGAGUGUUUCAGGCAGGCGUUUGCAUGAAUACACAAGCAUGGAAUAAUGGAAUAGGACUAGGGUCCAUUUUAUUGGUUAUUGGACCAUAGUAAUGAUUAAUAGGGACAGUUGGGGGCAUUAGUAUUUAAUUGUCAGAGGUGAAAUUCUUGGAUUUAUUAAAGACUAACUUAUGCGAAAGCAUUUGCCAAGGAUGUUUUCAUUAAUCAAGAACGAAAGUUAGGGGAUCAAAGACGAUUAGAUACCGUC